CUGGUGGUAAGUAACAUACACAUAAACAUAUUAUAUCAUUUUCAUUACUCAAUUUUAUCCAUAGAAUAUCUUGUACUUCACUGUUUAAAAUUUCAACAUUAUAAUAUUUCAAUAGAUCAUUUUUAACUAAAGCCGCAACCCCACCAGAACCUCUCUUGGAAUUAACAUGAACUUUGUCCCUUUUUCACUGAAAACAAGUAU
rnacentral:lncRNA from 1 species